rnacentral:tRNA from 1 species
AAGAUGUUAGUAAAAUAUUACAUUACCUUGUCAAGGUAAAAUUGUGAGAUAACCCCUUGCACACCUUA